CUCACAGGCUACUUCUGUGUGAACACACAGGCAUCACAUCUUUCUUCUACUUUCCAGAAAUAUUCCAACAGAUUGCAUGCCCAUCUACAUGACUGGCCACUCAGCUCCUUUGGAUCACAAAUGAGCCUUGAUGCACCGAUGCUUCACUGAACUGCAUAUAUCUGUAUAUACAGAUAUUUUGGGACAGAGA
rnacentral:lncRNA from 1 species